UUUAUUUCAGAUUGAAUUCUUCUCUGGAGACUGUUUUUCCUUCAACCUUAAAAUGCGGAUAUUUAUUUAAGAGUCAAUUAGUAAUGGAGAACUUUGUCAAUCGAUCAUGUAUUCUCUUACUCUUAACACUUUAUGUUGGAUUGAGCAUAGAAAAAACAGAUCAUGAGAAUGAGAGAUUGAAGAAAUUAUAUUGUCUCUCAAAUCAAUAUGAAUGCACCGAUGGCCAAAAGUGUAUAGAUUUUUCUAAAAAAUGUGACGGAGUACCUGAUUGCUUAGACGAGAGUGAUGAAGGUGAGGAUUGUCUAAAAUCACAGGAAUCCGGUAAUUGCAAAGAGGGGCACUUUCUCUGUAAAAAAAGUGGGGAGUGCAUUCCCUUGAGAUGGAUAUGUGAUAACGAGUUGGAUUGUGGAAAUUCUACUCUGGGCCUGGAUAAAUCUGAUGAAUCCUCGUCGCUCUGUCGAAAGAAUGUCACUUGCGCUGCUAAUCAAUUAAUGUGCAAGGACAAUACGACGUGCAUGCAUCUAUCAAGAUUUUGUGACCACAAAAUUGAUUGCCCCGACAAUUCUGAUGAAGGACCUCAAUGCAAACUUAAAUCAUGUAUUAAAUUAAAAUGUUCCUAUAGAUGUGCUAUCUCCUGGAGAGGUCCUAAAUGCUAUUGUAGGGAUGGGGAAGAAAUUGAUGGCCAUGAUGUAUCCCAGUGUGUUGAUCACGAUGAAUGUAGAAAUGAGAGCACGUGCGAUCAAGUUUGCACGAAUACAAUUGGAUCUUUUAAAUGUAGUUGUACUGAAGGCUAUGUUCUGAAUAAGGAUGAUCGUUCAUGUACUGCCAUUAAUGUUCCUCCAGAAGAUGUCACAACCUUACUCGUUGCCGAUUCAUCUUCUUUGCAUUCAUUUUUCUUAAAUGGAACUGCUUUAAGAUCUUUAGAUGCCACAGACGUUGUAACAUUAGACUUUAAUCAUCGAAAUCAAAGUUUUUGUUGGUUGACAAGAAAUAAAGAUGGUUAUGUUAUGGCUUGUGGGGAAAGUAAAGGAGAGUCUCCUCUGUGGUAUUUCAAAAGUCCUAAUCCUUAUUCAUUUAAUUCUGUAACCAUUAUUACUCUGGAUUGGGCAUCUCAUAACUGGUAUAUGGCGGAUGAAAGUAAAGAGCUUAUUCUCUUAUGUCGAUCUCCAAGAACUUCUCCCUCCUUUUCCUGUAAAAUUAUCCUAUCUACAAGAAUGGACAAACCUAGAGGGCUGGCCGUUGAUCCAAACAAAGGAUUCUUAUUCUUUACAUUAUGGGGCGGUGAGUAUGCUCGUGUUGAAAGAUCUAAUUUGGAUGGGUCUAAUAGACGAAUCAUUACUGAUAAGAAAACAGUUUAUCCUCAUGGUAUCACUGUUGAUUUUGUAAAGAAACGUAUCUAUUGGGUAGAUACUUAUCUGAAUUCAGUUGAAAGUACUGACUAUAAUGGAAAUAAUCGUAAAAUGAUUUCUGUUAGUACUCCUUUACAAGGACUCUUUGGGCUAGAUUUGUUCGAAAAUAUCAUCUAUGCAACAAGCAGGAGGAAUAAUUCUGUCAUAAGAAUAAAUCUAUCUCCUACUGAAAAUCGGAGUGAAGCUAUGAUUGGAGGACUAACUCGUCCAUCAGGUCUCAAAGUUUUUCAUCGAAUGAGACAGCCUCUUAAUCAUACUAAAACUCUAAGUGAUGGUAGUAUUGCACAUCCAUGUAUAUCUUUGGACCCUUGUCAUCACUUGUGUAUUCCUAUUGAGAUUUCUCCAUACUAUAAAUGUAUUUGUCAUUCUGGCUUCGAACUUUUUCCAAGAUCAGACUCUAGAUGCAUUAGGGUUAAAAAAGAUUUUUAUCUCUUAUAUGGAUUUCAAAAGUUAGGUAUAGUGAAAGGAGUGGCUUUUGAUGAUCCUACUCUUGAGUCUGCAGUUCCCAUCGUUAAUUUAAAGAAACCCACUGCAAUGGAUUUUCAUCCUCAAACAAAGACUCUUUUCGUCGCGGAUCUAGAAGACAAUAAAAUUAUUAAGCAUAAUCUUGAAAGAGGAAAUCAACAGGAUUUUAUUACGAGUGGCUUAAAUAGUGUCAUGGGUAUAGCAGUUGAUUGGAUUGGGAAUAACUUGUAUUGGACUGAUGAAGGUAAAAGAUCUAUAUUUGUGGUGCCUCUUCACAAAAGAGAAAAAAGGAUGACACUUCAUAGUUUUAAUCUAACUCAUCCAAGGUCUAUAGUAUUGGAUAUUGAGUCAAAAUAUAUUUAUUGGUCAGAUUGGCCAUCAGGAACUGGAAUUACUCUGAAAGAAACUGCGAAGAUUGAAAGAUCUGGCUUUGACGGAUCUGAUCGACAAGUAAUUGUCUCUAGCCGAAUACUUUGGCCUAAUGGUCUUACUGUAGCAAGUGGAAAAUUGUUUUGGGUGGAUACAUUUUUAGAAACGGCGGAAUCUAUUGAUUUGACUACAAAACAACGAAUGGUUCAUUUGAAAUCUUCAAAUUAUCUUAGCCACCCUUAUGGAUUAGCUUAUUUUAGAGGAGCUUUAUAUUGGUCAGAAUUUGAGCGAGGUGAUAUUAUGAGGCUAGAUCUUAAUGGAACAUCUUCUCCAACUAUUUUCACCAAAGAAAAUCCAUCAAUAUUUUCCCUCAAAGUUUUUGACAAAAGAUUUCCACCUGAAAUAGAAGGUGGAUACGAAUGUCAAGAUUUAAGACUUCUCACACCUUCUGGCAGAAGUGUUUGUGCCUGCAGAGAUGGUUAUUUCCUCAAGGACGAUAAAGUAUCUUGCGAAGCGAUCGAAGGAUGGGUACCCCCUCCUUAUUGUGCUAAAGAUCAAUUUACGUGUUCAAAUGGGCAUUGCAUUGACCUAAAUCUUAAAUGUGAUGGUGAAAUUGAUUGCGAGGACGGGUCGGAUGAAAAUCUUUUAAUUGCCUGUCAAAAUAUUACAUGUGACAAGGAUAAUCAAUUUAUGUGUGCAAACAAAGCCUCUUGUAUUGAGUUGGAAUCUAUUUGUGAUCGAUAUGAUGACUGCAUGGACGGUUCAGAUGAGGAUCCAGGUUUAUGUUUAUCAAGGACGUGUGGUGAUGAUAUGUUUCAAUGCAAGGAAACCGGGAUUUGUUUACAUUAUUUCUCAGUGUGCAAUUCAGUGUAUGAUUGUGGAGGAAAUGAUAUUUCAGAUGAAGGAAAUUGCAAUAAUGGUUCAUCAAAAAAUGAGUUACCCCUCUUCUGUCUUCCAAAUGAAUUCAGUUGUGAUGCUGAUAGUAGUUGUAUCCCCAUUUCUGGUGUUUGUGAUGAUGAAAAGGACUGUUCAGAUAACAGCGAUGAAUUAAAUUGCCAUAAUGAAAAUGAAACCUGCAAGGGCUUUUUGUGCAAUCGUGAUUCCAAGUGCAUAAAUGCAUCAAAAAAAUGUGACGGAGCUUUAGAUUGUGAUGAUGGCUCUGAUGAAAAUUACUGUUCUUUAAGUUCAACCAAGUGUGGAAAGGAGGAGUUUAUGUGUGCUCGUAGUGGAGAUUGCAUUGAUAAAGCAAACGUUUGCGAUGGUGUUGUUCAUUGUUCUGAUGGAUCAGAUGAACAUAAUAAUGUGUUUUGUGGUCUUUCGGACUGUGAUUUAUCAACUCAGCGCAAAUGUGCUAACGGUGAAUGUAUAUUGAAAGGAUAUUGGUGUGAUGGACACUUUGACUGUACUGAUAACUCUGAUGAAACUGAGGACUGCCUGAGCCUGACUAUCUCCUGUGAAUAUCCUUCACAUUCAUGUAAAAGUAAGGUGAGCAAUAAAACAAUGUGUCUUGAGGUAUUGAAGUUAUGCAACAAAGUCAUUGACUGCGCUGAUGGCUCGGAUGAGGGUCUUUUGUGUGAUGAGGGUUACUGUGGUAAAAUCGGGGAAAGAGAAUGCUCUAAUUUUUGCCAAAAUUCGCCUGAUGGGGGUAGAUGCCACUGUCCAGAAGGAAUGCAUUUGAAUUUAAAAAAUAAAAUGAGAUGCGAAGAAGAUCAUCCUUGUAGCCGUUGGGGAACUUGUUCCCAGGGCUGUAAAAGUGUUUCUACAAAUAAACACAAAUGCUUUUGCAGAGACAAUACCUAUUAUCUCAAUUUGCAAGAUGGGUUUUCAUGUAAAAGUAAAGAUACAUCUCGUCCCGUACUUCUCUUUAGCACACUUGAUGAAAUAAGAUCAGUUGAUUUGAAAACACGGUACACAAGAUCAGUGAUCUCCAAUCUUAGAAAUGCUGUUGUACUAGAUUUCUACCAUACUCGUAUUCGUGAUCAUGUUUAUUGGAUUGACGUUGUGGACAAUAAAAUAUAUAGGGGAACCCUUCUAGCUGGGUCUGUUUCAAAUGUUAUCACCAUAGUUGAAAAUGGACUAACUGCAGUAAAAGGUCUUGCAGUAGACUGGAUUGGGGGAAACUUAUAUUGGUUGGAAAGCGCUUUAGGAACCAUAGAGGUAAGCAGUUUGCAAGGCAAGCAUAGGCGAACUUUGAUCGCGGGGAAACAUGGUAUGGAGUCUCCUCGAGGCUUAGUACUUGAUCCUCGAGUUGGACUAAUGUUUUGGACAGAUUGGGAGCAUGAUGCUGUUAGAAUUGAAUCUGCAGAUAUGACUGGAAAUGGACGAAAUGUUAUUUACUCUAGGAAGUAUGACGAGGGAUCAUUACCCAAUGCUAUAACUCCUGACUAUUUUUCCAAACGUUUAUAUUGGAUCGAUUCAAGUAUGGAUUCUAUUCAUACUAUGACAUAUGAUGGAAAAGACAUUAUUGAAAUAUUGCGAGGUCAUGAAUACCUGUCACAUCCUUUUGCCAUAUCUUUAUUUGAGAACCAUGUUUAUUGGAGUGAUUGGAAAACGAAAUCUGUUGUUCAAGCAAAUAAAUGGAACGGAUCUGAUUUACAGAUAAUCGCUGACGGAAUUUCUGGAUUUCCUUAUGAUGUGAAAGUAUUACAUUCCUCUCGCCAACCUCUUCCUAGAUCAAUUCAUCCUUGCUACUUACAAAACAAUGGAGGAUGUUCACAUUUAUGCUUUAUCAAAAAUGAAACUGCUGGUUCAUGUGCUUGCCCUCAUAGGAUGAAGUUAAGUCCAUCUAAUAAUAAGCUUUGUAUCCCGCACGUUUCUGCUCUCAUUUAUUCUACAUCAAAAGAAAUCAUGGGAGUUGAUAUUGAUGAUAUAGAAUCUCAUAUACUUCCUCCCAUCCCAAUUUCAUCAUCAUUGUCUUUAGAUUUUUCAAAAAAUACUAAUUGCUUCUACUGGAUAUUGAAAAAACAAAAGAUACUAAGUAAAAGUCUCUCCGAUGAGAGUCAGAUUAUCACUCUGAUAGAUAAAAAUGUUCUUAAAGAUACAUUAGGACUGGCCAUUGAUUGGAUAUCCGGAAAUAUGUACUUUUCUUCAAGCAUAGGUAAAACAUCUCAAUUCAAAUCUAGCUUAUAUGUAUCAAAUUUAGAAGGGCAUUUUGUUACUACUCUUAUUCAAAAUGCUAGCUUAAUUCAAGAUAUUGUUGUUGCACCCACGCUUGGCCUUCUUUAUUGGGUUCAAAAGCGUUCUUAUAGACAAGUUGAGCUCAAAAUGUCAAGAAUGGAUGGAAGCCAUGUUGAAAAUGAAAUUACAAACUUUUCCUCUCAAUCAUCGCAAAUUGAUAUCAAAUGUCUCUCUUAUUCUCAAGAACAUCAUCGUCUUUAUUGGAUUAGAACUUCUGAUUCAGAUAGAGGAAUCGUUGAAUAUUGGGAUUUUAAAACAAAUAAGCUAAAUGUUGUGGAAUCCUCUCCCAAAAUUAAAUCCAUCACAUUACAUCAUAAUGACCUAUAUUACUCCGAUGGUACAUCUCUUUUCAAAUUAUCUUAUUCCUCUAGUAGUUUUUCUAAUGCUAAGGUAUUGAUUAAUGCUACGAGGGAAAUUCUUUCACUUAAAGUAUUUGAUCCAGAAGCGCAACAUGGAGAAAAUGCUUGCUCUAGAAAUCCCAUGAAUAAGUGUGAGCAGUUGUGCUUACCCAAUAGUCCUGCAACUCAUGUUUGUGCGUGUGCUAUUGGUUACACUUUGGUUAAUGGGACAUAUUGUAAAGCAACUCCAAAGGACUUUCUAUUAUUUUCUGAUGAUUUAGGUCUGCAUGGAAGGAGCACAGAAGGCCCAUCAUUUCAAGCAGAUGACGCAUUAACUCCUAUUUCGGGUGCUAAGAAACCAUCAGCUGUUGGAGUAUUACCUGAGAAUAACAUUAUCUUUUGGAUAGGUUUUAACUCAAUUUAUAGAUCAAACCGGGAUGGCACAGAUACACGUAUUGUAGUGACUGAUUUGAAUUCUCCUCAAAGAAUCGUGAUAGACUGGAUUGCAAGAAAUAUUUAUUGGACUGAUGAUGACUCUGAUGUUAUUGAGUUGUCUGAUAUUGAAGGGAAACAUCGAUAUAUUAUAAUAUCAGAUAAUUUAGAUCGACCUUCUGCUCUGGCAGUUGAUCCAACUAAAGGGAUUUUAUUUUGGUCGGAUAUUGGACGAAUUCCUAAAAUUGAAAGGUCAAGACUGGAUGGAUCAAAUCGUACCAUUUUAAUAAAUGCAGAUAUUGAAUCGGUUAUGGGAUUAACCCUGGAUUUAAGAGAAGAAAGGCUUUACUGGUCGGACGCUGGUCUCAGUUGUAUUAUGUCAGUGAAGUAUGACGGUUCAUCAAGACGCAAAAUAUUGAGACGCUUACAAUCUUCGAAACUCAUAGAUUCCCCAAAUGGCAUAGCAUUUUUUGAUAAACGAAUAUUUUGGAUUGAUUUAAGUCUUAAAAAUGGUAGUUUAAAUUCUAUUCAACUUGAUACUGAUAGAGUACGAACACUUGAUAGAAAUAAUAACUUCAAAGGAGAUUUACAGAUUUUCACAUUAAGAGAUAAAGCUUUUCCAGGGGGAACUAUCCAUACUAAUCCUUGCGGAAAUAACAAUGGUGGUUGCAAAGAACUAUGUUUGUUCGACGGUCAGAGUGCCAAAUGUGCAUGCUCUUACGGGAAAGUCGCAUCGGAUGGAUUAACUUGUGAAGACUAUGAUGCUUUUCUUAUGUAUUCAAGAGUGUCUCGUAUUGAAUCAUUGCAUAUGUUCAAUGAUUCUAAUGUUCCUCUACCUCCUAUUACGCAUAAAAAAUUGAUGAAAAAUGCAAUUGGAUUAGCUUACGAUUACGACUUUAAAAUUGUAUUUUACUCUGACAUUCAGAGAGGAACAAUCAAUUCUGUUCAAUUUGAUGGUUCAAAUCAUAGGAUACUCGUCUCAGAUCUAGGAGCAGUUGAAGGCCUUGCAUAUUCCCAUGAAUAUAGAUCGUUAUACUGGACUUCUGACACUGACAAUUCAAUAAGUAGACUUAAGUUUAUUAAAAAAGGAGAUUUUCAACGAUUUGAAAUUGAACUCGUUCUUCAAAUGAAACCUGAUGAUGAACUGAGAGGUAUUGAUAUCGAUUCUUGUGAGGGGAAAGUUUAUUUUACAAAUUGGAACACUAAUCAGCCAAGUAUUCAAAGAUCCUGGUUUUCGGGAUAUGGUCUUGAAUCCAUCAUAACAACUGACAUUCACACUCCUAACGCACUAGCUCUUGAUCCUGUUGAAAGAGUACUCUUUUGGGGAGAUGCUCAACUCAAUAAAAUAGAAAGGGUUGACCUGAAUGAUUUAAUUCGAACAGUGUUGACUAAGGCUCACCAUCCCUUUGAUUUAGCAGUGUAUGGUCAGUAUCUUUUCUUUGCUGAUUGGUUUCUUCAUGCUGUUAUUAGAGUUAACAAACGAACAGGAGAAGAAGUAUAUUGGCUAAAGCGAGAUAUUCCUAGGCCCAUGUCAAUUAUAGCAGUCGGCCCAGAGUCAAAAUGUGCCAAUCAUAAUCCCUGUUUGAUAUUAAAUGGUGGCUGUGAGGAUAUCUGUACUUUAGAUGAAAGUGGGGAUCCUGCAUGUAAAUGUAGAGAAGGUAGAUCAUCAAUCCCUGGAGAUAUAAAGCGAUGUAUGGACAUAAGCUCAACUCAUCGAACAUGUCAACAAACCAAUGAAUUUCAAUGUAGUGCAAAUGAUGUUUGUAUUUUAUAUACCUUAACCUGCGAUGGUUUGAAUCAUUGUCCAGAUGGCUCAGAUGAAGAUCUCAAAUACUGUGCAAUACGUCAUUGCAAGUCUGGGUUUAUUCAUUGCACCAAUGGUCGAUGUAUACCAGAAAGUAGUAAGUGUAAUGGUAUUGAUGAUUGUGGGGAUUUUUCUGACGAAACAGGAUGUUUUUGUCCUGAAAAUAAACCGUUCGUGUGUUCGAUUGGAGGUCCAUGUUUGGAAGAACAUCGGAAAUGUGAUGGAGUACCAGACUGUGAAGAUGCAUCAGAUGAAAUAAAUUGUCCUAAAGUUAACUGUGCAGCCUCGAACAUCUCUUCCUUUGACGAAAGUAAAAUAUUACUUGAGAAUUGUGCGUACACAACUGCUUGUAUUCUUCCUGAAUGGAGAUGUGAUGGCAAAAAUGAUUGUUGGGAUAAUUCAGAUGAGAAGAAUUGUGAUAAUUCUUCAAUUGUGGGCAGUGAAUCUGAUCAUUGUCCUCUUGGUACUUUUCAAUGCUUAGGAGACAAUCGGUGUAUUUCCGAAAGUUGGGUUUGUGAUAGGGAUAAAGAUUGCAAAGAUGAAUCUGAUGAACAAAAUUGUCACUAUUAUUGCAAGGAACAUCAAUUCAAAUGUAACAAUGGACAGUGCAUUCCAAAAAAAUGGUAUUGUGAUCGAACACCUGAUUGUAGCGAUCAGAGUGAUGAAAUGGAUUGUAAAGUUGAAUGCCAUUCUGAUUCUGAAUUUCGAUGUAACUCGACAGGAGUUUGUAUACCUAAACUAUGGGUAUGUGACGGUAAUUCCGACUGUCCUAAAAAUGAGGAUGAGACAGGGUGUCCCAUCUACCUCGCACCUCUCGGUAACUGCCAUCCCAAUCAAUUUCGUUGUUUCAAUGGUAUAUGUGUCGAUAAUUCUUAUUAUUGUGAUUACAAUGAUGACUGCCUUGAUGGUUCUGAUGAACCAGAGACAUGCGAUUAUAGUUUUAGACCUAAACGAUUGUACUGUUGUGUACGAAGUGGGGACAUGCAUUGUAUUUCUCCACAGAAACUGUGUGAUGGUAUUUCAAAUUGUGAUGACGAGUCUGAUGAGUUGCAGAGUACUUGUAGCAAAUAUUCAUCAGUUAUUAUAAGUAGUAAUCAAUCACAGUCACCUGUAUUCGUUCUUGGAAGUUGUGAUGAUCAGUCAAAAUUUGAAUGUAAAAAUAAGGCAUGUGUCUCAUGGGACUCUUUAUGUGACGGUCAAAAUGACUGUGGUGACUAUUCUGAUGAAGCAUCGUGCGACAUAAAUGAGUGUGAGAAUCCAUUUACUUGUGCCCAUAUUUGCGAAGAUAAACCUAUCGGUUACGAAUGUCAAUGCCAUGAAGGCUAUCAAAUACGUCCAAGUGACCCGACGUCUUGUGAUGAUAUUGACGAAUGUGUCACGUCUUACCCUUGUUCACAGAUCUGUUUGAACACACCGGGUUCGUACAAGUGUGCAUGUGUCUCGGGUUACAUUCCUAUCGAUAAAGGUCAUAGAUGCAAGGCUAAUGUAACUGGAAAGGAUUCCACUAAAAUAAUAUUUUCCAAUGGAUACUACAUUACCCAAAUGGAUCUUAUUGAAAAUUCAGAAUAUUUAGUUAAAAAUCAAUCCAAUGUUGUGGCUUUGGAUUUUGAUUGGGAAUCUGAAUGUUUGUUUUGGUCUGAAGUUACUAAGAGAGGCUCUCAACUGAAGAAAAAAUGUAAUUUUGGAAACGAGGAAAAUGAGGAAAUUCAGCGACUAGUAACUUUGCGCAAUCCAGAUGGUAUAGCUAUUGAUUGGGUAGCUAAGAAUUUGUACUGGUGUGACAAAGGUAGUGAUAUGAUCGAAGUCUCUAAUUUUGACGGUGCCUAUCGAAAAACAUUAAUUGAUUCUGGGUUGAAUGAACCUAGAGCCAUUGUUUUAGAUCCCUUAGAAGGUUAUUUGUAUUGGUCAGAUUGGGGGUCUGAACCUCACAUUGGUAAAGCAGGAAUGGACGGAUCUAAUCCAAGAGUAAUUUUAAAAUCUAAUUUGGGUUGGCCUAACGCAAUUGCGAUUGAUUACACAACCAAAGAGUUAUACUUUGGAGAUGCUGAUAAAGAUUUUAUUGCAGUUUCUGAUUUAGAAGGUCAAAAUGUUAGAAUUGUAAUCUCACGAGGCUUGAAUCCUCAUGCUCAACUUCAUCAUAUUUUUGCUUUAACUGUAUUUGAAGAUUAUAUAUAUUGGACAGACUGGGAGACAAAGACCAUCGAAAGGUGUCAUAAAUAUUCUGGUAAAGAUAAUGUAACCAUUGCAAAACUAUCUCAUCGACCAAUGGAUAUUCAUAUAUAUCAUCCUCUACGCCAACCAAAUCUACCUUCCAAUCCUUGCAUUAAUAAUGGUGGAUGCGAAGCACUUUGUCUUUUAAGACCUUCUGACAAAGGAGGACAUCGAAUUCCUCCCAAUAGAACAUGUGCAUGUCCUCAAAGCCAUGUUCUGAAUGAAGAUGGACUCACGUGUAAAUCUAAUUGUUCAAAAACUGAUUUUGUCUGUGAGAACACUCUCAAAUGUAUACCUUUUUGGUGGAAAUGCGAUGGACAAGAUGACUGUGGUGAUGGAUUAGAUGAACCUCUAGAUUGCCCUCCCUUCAAAUGCCAUGCUGGAGAAUUUCAAUGUAACAAUGGAAACUGUGUACUUCCUAUACGUAUAUGUGAUCAAAACGAUGAUUGUGGAGAUGGAUCUGAUGAGAGUCUUUGCAAUGAUUAUAAUUGUAUGAAAAACCAAUUUAAAUGUCAAGGAAAUUAUACCCAUUCUGGAUACUGUAUACCCCUAAAUCGAAAGUGUGAUUAUACUGAUGAUUGUCUGAAUGGAGAAGAUGAAAAUGAUUGUGCCCCAAAGGAGUGCCCGAUAAAUCAUUUCAAAUGCCAAGCUAAUAAAUGUAUUCCCGCGGUAUGGGUUUGUGAUGGGGAUAAUGAUUGUGGCGAUAAUACUGACGAACCUAUCAACUGUCCGAAUCGUACGUGCUCAGAGGAGCUCUUCAAAUGUCCCAAUGGACGAUGUAUUCCUAAGGUAUGGAAAUGCGAUGGUGAUCCUGAUUGUGAAUUGGGUGAAGAUGAGAGCUCGGAUGAAUGUUCAGUGGACUUAAUAACUCAUUGUGAGGGCAGUUUUAUUUGUAAAAAUAAGCAUUGCAUCAAUGAGAGAUGGAGAUGUGACCAACAGGAUGACUGUGGUGAUAAUUCAGACGAAAUUGAUUGCAUGGACUUUAAAAAUUGUUCCUUGCAUCAAGUACCUUGUUCUAAUGGAAAUUGCAUUGAAGAGUCGGAGCUUUGUGACGGAAACUUUGACUGUCAGGAUCGUUCGGAUGAGUUGUAUUGCUCUCAGGUUUGUAAUCCGGAGGAAGAAUUUCGAUGUGCAUCUCCUCCUACUUGUAUCCCUAAAGAGUGGCGUUGUGACGGAGAUAGAGAUUGUGUCGAUGGAUCAGAUGAAAAUAGAUGUCCUCAGUCCCAUUGUAGAGUUGGUCACUUUUCUUGUGGAUCUUCUGAAUGUAUUAGCUCUCAGUGGUUAUGUGACGGAGAGGCUGAUUGCGUUGAUGGAUCUGAUGAAGAUGACGAAGCGUGCUCUCGACAUUUAUGUGAACCUAAUAGAUACCGUUGUGAUAAUAGACAUCAGUGUGUUCUUUGGACAUCUGUCUGUGAUGGUAUUCCUGAUUGUUCAGAUGAAUCAGAUGAGUCACAGGUUGCUUGUUCUCUUUCUUCUUCUUGCCCUCCAGAAUCUGUAUCUUGUGGUGAAGUAAAUCGCUGUGUUUCUAAGGAAGCGCUUUGUGAUGGUUUUGAUGACUGUGGAAACGAACAAGAUGAAAGAGAUUGUGAAAAAGGUCCAUGCGUAUUUGGUGCAUGUUCACAAUCUUGUCUUCCUAAAAAGUCACGACAUACAAAUGAAACGGUGCCCGCAUGUUUUUGUGAGGAUGGCUACGCUCCUCAUGACAAGAAAACUUGCAAGGCCCUCGGGGAAGAUCCUGUUCUUCUUAUUGCUCAAGAAAAUAGUAUCAAAGUAACUUCCAUUUACGCUAUCUCCUCUGCUGAUUCAUCAAUUCAUUUUCAAGAUUUUGACAAAAAAUAUAAAAUCACAGCUAUUGAUAUAUUUUAUGACAGAAGUAUACCCGUUAUUGUCUGGAGCUCCAAGAGUGACCGCUCUAUAUACUAUCGAAAAUUAACAGUUGAUACAUUACCUCAGAGAAUAAAACGUGAUACCAAUCGUGAAAGUGGUAUUUUAAUCAAUGAUAUUCGUGAUCCUAAGGAUUUGUGCGUAAACUGGAUAUCUCAAGACAUUUAUUUUAUUGAUGGUUAUUCGAGAAGUAUAUCAAUGAUAAACAUUGAUAUUUCAUUUGGUAAACUUACCAUUUUGAAAAAUUUAGAUCGACCAGUGAAUAUUGUCCUGGAUCCUGAAAUUGGACUGCUAUUUUAUGCAGAUCAAGGUUCAAACCCUCGAAUUAUGCAAGCGGAUUUAGAUGGAUCUAAUCAUAAGCCUUUAGUCGAAUCUAAAAUAAGAUGGCCUCAGAGUUUAACCAUAGACUAUUUUGCUCAUAGAAUGUAUUGGAGCGAUUUGAAAUCAAAUAGCAUUGAGAGCAUUCAGUAUAAGGAUGGUACAUCUAGAAAAACUGUUCGCAAGUUUAGUCCUAAAGAGGAUGGUAAACCUGAUCAAAUUGAAGUAUUUGAAGAUUGGAUUUACCUUUCUAAUUAUCAACGUAAUCGUGUCGUGAAGUUUAACAAAUUUGGGAAAGGUGAGAUACAAGAAAUUGGAUUAUUAGAAGACAGUACUUUUCUUCUAAAUAGUGUUCGAAUUUCUGAUCUCGUUGUUCUACACAAUCAUAAGCAAAAAGCUAUAUCAAAUCCCUGUUUUCUUAGUCCUUGUUCUGAUCCCAACUCUAUUUGUAUCAUGCUUUCUCCCGAAAAAUAUAAAUGCGAGUGUGUGGAUGGAUAUCUAUCAACUAAGCGGGAUCAAAACGGGUCAUUCUGUGUGAAAAAAGAGGAAGGCUUCAAAAGCGAUGCUUGCGAAGGCAUUCAAUGUCACACUGGAAAAUGCAUUUUACGACAAUUUAAGAAAAGUAGUGAGCUUGAAGCCCACUGUAAGUGUACCAAUCCUUUUUAUAGUGGGAAAUAUUGUGAUACAUAUAUUUGCACUGGUUAUUGUCUAAAUGGAGGUGUAUGCUUUCCUGACUCACCAAAGAACAAAGGAGACUUUGCUAAGCCUAUUUGUGUAUGUCCAGCAGGAUUUGAAGGAGAUCGUUGUGAAACUCGGAUAGAGUCAUGUGAAAGUCUUUGUGUAAAUAAUGGGGUUUGUUACUUAGAUGAGAAAAAUUCUACCAAGUGUAAAUGCCGACCUGGUUUUUCUGGGGAUAGGUGUGAGCGAUGUAUUAGUGCCAAGGAUCCCUGUGAGAAUGGUGGAACAUGUCUUAUCAAUGCAUAUGACGAAAAACCUCGAUGUGUUUGCCCAGAAACUUUUACUGGGGAACGAUGUGAAACUUCUAUGUGUGAUUCACAAAUUGGUUCCUGUCUCAAUGAUGGUACAUGUAUUGUUCAGGAAGGUAUUCAUAAUUGUUUGUGUCCUCCUGAUUUUGCUGGACCCAAUUGCCAAACAUUUAAGUGUGAUCGAUACUGUUUGAAUGGGGGAACGCCUAAUGUUCGAGUUCCGGGACAGUGUCGCUGUGAUUGUAGACCUGGAACAGGAGGUCCUCGAUGCCAAAUUACUCGAUGUAAGAAAUUAGAGUGUAAAAACAGUGGAACUUGCAUACUUUUGAACGGAAGAGAAGUUUGUCGAUGUACUGAGCGUUAUGGGGGACUCGACUGCUCUGUUCGUAUCCCGUCUCAUGCCCACAGUCCAUGUGAAUUUCAUCGCUGUCUAAAUGGAGGUAUUUGUCAAGUAUCUGUGAAGGAUAAACACUACCAUCCAAAGUGUAUAUGUCCAAUACACCACGCUGGCCUUCACUGUGAAAAACAGAAUCUAUGUUUGAAUCGAUGUCUAAACGGAGGAGUUUGCCAAUGGUCCGAGGAUGAUGUGGUUACUUGCGUCUGUAAAAAUGCCUAUGGCGGAGAGAGAUGUAAUCAAAAAAUAAGUCACAUGGACUUGAAUACUUCUACUUUAGACAAUGCGGAUGUUUCGAAUCAGGAUAUUCGUUAUACAGUACUCACGAUAAUAUUAAGUAUAUUAGCCUGUGUUCUUGUACUUAUUGUAGCCCUUGCCCUUGCAUUUGGUGUGCGCCGAAAGAGACUUGGCCUUGCUUUUAAACAUCGCCGAAUGGCAGAAAAUCUUAUAUCGAGUAAUAUGGAGUUCCCUAACAGAAUGUUUCUUCAAGGCGAAGGGGAUGAAGAGGAAGAAGAUAAAUUUGAGAAUGGAGGCAAUGACUUUCAUAAUUCGCAUCGCCUUCGUCCUCGUUCCAAAAGACAAAGACGUAGUAAUCAUUUCCAAAUGGAAGAUGCAAAUAAACACUUUGUGAAUCCAGUAUAUGAAACCUUAUUUCCAAGAGGGGAUAGUGGUGAUCCUCCUUCAAUCAAUGGAGGAGAGGAUAGGAGAAUUAAUAAUGAGGUAGAAGAUGGAGAAAGCACUGUUCUUUUGGUCAAUUACGAGGAUGAUACCUCUAUUCCAAAACCUGCCAACGAGUCAUCAAAUUUACUUCACGAUGAGACACACAGGAACGACAUAAUGUAAAAAACUCUCCCAGGGAUGGAAAUUGGAAUACUAUAAUUAUUCAUUCCCCCUCAUCGUACUCAACUUCAUUUGCGGCAGCUAUAGACUAUAGACAUACAUAUUAUAUAUAUUUAUUAAUUUGAAUAAUAUGGUUGUGACGUUUCAUCGCCCCCAUUCCAUCUCCUCCCUUUUGACCCUUCUUUACUAAUAUAAAUGUGGCUUCUACUUACUCAUCCAUCAGAGCUAUCAGGAUGGUUUAGGUUGGAGCGAUGCAGUGAGGAUGAAUCUCACCCCUCCACCUUCUUUAAUUUAUCUGUGAUUAAUAAUAAUAAUAUUAAUUUAUUUAUUUAUAUAUCUAUAUUUUUGUGCCAAAAGCAGUAAUUAAGUAGACAUCAUUACUUUUAAUUUGAUUACAUUUGUUUUAGCACAAGAAAAGUCAUUUCAAUCAUCAUGUAUGUAUUUGAGGAACUUUUACAAAUUUUAAUGUGUAUUUUUUUCUGUAUUUUUUAAUAGGCUUCUUUAAAGCACAAAUAUGUAUGUGUACAAAUCUGGAUACUCACUUUUACCUUCCCAUCUACUUUUAUUUAUCUCUUAUUCUAUUUACUAUUUAGUAUUUUAAUUUGCUUUACCACUAAUAGCAAUUGACGAUGACAAAUGUUACUCAUGUCGUCAAAAUUAACUACGAUACUUUUAGAGCUGUGAUGAUUCCAUAUAUUAUUAUAAUACGAUUUAGUUUUUACGUACAUACUACCACUACAUGUACUAAUUAUCCUACUUCAACAAUACUUAUUAUAACUACUUAUAAGAUAUUAAUGCCUCACACUUUGAUGAUUAUAAUUAAUUACAUGCAUAAUAUAUAUUUUGUAAACAUUUUCAACAUAAUGUUAUUUGUGAAAAUGCAUCAAUCUCAAUGAC
rnacentral:misc_RNA from 1 species